UACGGAGGGUGCGAGCGUUAAUCGGAAUUACUGGGCGUAAAGCGCGCGUAGGCGGCCCGGUCAGUCCGGCGUGAAAUCCCCGGGCUCAACCUGGGAACUGCGCCGGAUACUGCCGGGCUGGAGUGCGGGAGAGGGGUGUGGAAUUUCCGGUGUAGCAGUGAAAUGCGUAGAGAUCGGAAGGAACACCAGUGGCGAAGGCGGCACCCUGGACCGACACUGACGCUGAGGCGCGAAAGCGUGGGGAG
rnacentral:rRNA from 1 species